rnacentral:pre_miRNA from 1 species
UUCUUCAUUUUGGAGAAGAAGAAAACUAGAAGAAGAAGAAGAAGAAGCUUCUUCUUCUUCUUCUUCUAGUUUUCUUCUUCUCCAAAAUGAAGUU